rnacentral:rRNA from 1 species
AACGAACGCUGGCGGCAGGCCUAACACAUGCAAGUCGAGCGAGGACUUCGGUUCUAGCGGCGGACGGGUGAGUAACGCGUGGGAAUGUGCCCUUCUCUACGGAAUAGCCCUGGGAAACUGGGAGUAAUACCGUAUACGCCCUAUUGGGGAAAGAUUUAUCGGAGAAGGAUCAGCCCGCGUUGGAUUAGGUAGUUGGUGGGGUAAUGGCCUACCAAGCCGACGAUCCAUAGCUGGUUUGAGAGGAUGAUCAGCCACACUGGGACUGAGACACGGCCCAGACCUCUCCGGGGGGGAGGAGGGGGAAAAUGUAGACAAGGGGGGGAACCCCAGUCAUGCCAAUCCUGGGGAGGGAUGAAGGGCGUAGGGUUAGAAAGCUCUUUCCGCUGGGAAGAAUAGGGCGGUACCAGCAGAAGAAGCCCCGGCUAACCCCG